ACUCAUCAGUCGACAGUCUGCAGUCUGCACUCUGCGGUCAUGGCUAGUCUUGGCUUGUGAAAGCAGCUUAUUGUGAAUAUUAUUGUUUGUUUGCUAAGGAUAGUUAAAAAAAAAUUAUUAGUACGUAAUUAAUUUGUAUUUGAACACAUUUAUUUUACACCUAUCACUUUAUCAGUGGGUUUCACUUAAGUGUAUUGACUUCGCUUUGUAAAGAUACUGCUCCGCGCAGCUUUUAAGGUGAGGUGCUGUUGCAUUCAAUAUGAAGGAGAUGGUAGAAGGAUGCUUUGUAUGCUCUGAUAAGCGUGGUUGGCCCGAAAACCCGCUAGUUUAUUGUUUUGGGUGUACUAUUGCAGUUCAUCAAGCCUGUUACAGGAUAAUUGCUGUUCCUACAGGACCCUGGUUCUGCCGGAGGUGCGAGAGUACCAAAACCAGAACCAAAGGCAAAGUUAUGCAGUUAAAUAUAAUUACCUCAAGGCCACACUAGAGGUCAGCUACUGCUCCCACACAAAUACUUCGCGUCUCCCCUAUCUGUAUCUAGUCCGACGUCAAGGAAGGCAUGAUCUGCGAACAAUGUUUUACACCUCUAAAUUCUAAUAUAAAUAACAUUUGUUUAAGUUUUAAUAAUUAAUUGUAAUUAUAAAUAAAUUAUCAUCCAAAUAGA